rnacentral:rRNA from 1 species
AUCUUGAGAGCGGCGUACGGGUGCGGAACACGUGUGCAACCUGCCUUUAUCUGGGGGAUAGCCUUUCGAAAGGAAGAUUAAUACCCCAUAAUAUACCGGAUGGCAUCAUUCGGUAUUGAAAACUCCGGUGGAUAGAGAUGGGCACGCGCAAGAUUAGAUAGUUGGUGAGGUAACGGCUCACCAAGUCUGCGAUCUUUAGGGGGCCUGAGAGGGUGAUCCCCCACACUGGUACUGAGACACGGACCAGACUCCUACGGGAGGCAGCAGUGAGGAAUAUUGGACAAUGGGUGAGAGCCUGAUCCAGCCAUCCCGCGUGAAGGACGACGGCCCUAUGGGUUGUAAACUUCUUUUGUAUAGGGAUAAACCUACCCUCGUGAGGGUAGCUGAAGGUACUAUACGAAUAAGCACCGGCUAACUCCGUGCCAGCAGCCGCGGUAAUACGGAGGGUGCAAGCGUUAUCCGGAUUUAUUGGGUUUAAAGGGUCCGUAGGCGGAUCUGUAAGUCAGUGGUGAAAUCUCACAGCUUAACUGUGAAACUGCCAUUGAUACUGCAGGUCUUGAGUGUUGUUGAAGUAGCUGGAAUAAGUAGUGUAGCGGUGAAAUGCAUAGAUAUUACUUAGAACACCAAUUGCGAAGGCAGGUUACUAAGCAACAACUGACGCUGAUGGACGAAAGCGUGGGGAGCGAACAGGAUUAGAUACCCUGGUAGUCCACGCCGUAAACGAUGCUAACUCGUUUUUGGAGCGCAAGCUUCAGAGACUAAGCGAAAGUGAUAAGUUAGCCACCUGGGGAGUACGAACGCAAGUUUGAAACUCAAAGGAAUUGACGGGGGCCCGCACAAGCGGUGGAUUAUGUGGUUUAAUUCGAUGAUACGCGAGGAACCUUACCAAGGCUUAAAUGGGAAAUGACAGGUUUAGAAAUAGACUUUUCUUCGGACAUUUUUCAAGGUGCUGCAUGGUUGUCGUCAGCUCGUGCCGUGAGGUGUUAGGUUAAGUCCUGCAACGAGCGCAACCCCUGUCACUAGUUGCCAUCAUUAAGUUGGGGACUCUAG